rnacentral:rRNA from 1 species
GAUGAACGCUGGCGGCGUGCCUAAUACAUGCAAGUCGAGCGAACGGACGAGAAGCUUGCUUCUCUGAUGUUAGCGGCGGACGGGUGAGUAACACGUGGAUAACCUACCUAUAAGACUGGGAUAACUUCGGGAAACCGUAGCUAAUACCGGAUAAUAUUUUGAACCGCAUGGUUCAAAAGUGAAAGACGGUCUUGCUGUCACUUAUAGAUGGAUCCGCGCUGCAUUAGCUAGUUGGUAAGGUAACGGCUUACCAAGGCAACGAUGCAUAGCCGACCUGAUAGGGUGAUCGGCCACACUGAAACUGAGACACGGUCCAGACUCCUACGGGAGGCAGCAGUAGGGAAUCUUCCGCAAUGGGCGAAAGCCUGACGGAGCAACGCCGCGUGAGUGAUGAAGGUCUUCGGAUCGUAAAACUCUGUUAUUAGGGAAGAACAUAUGUGUAAGUAACUGUGCACAUCUUGACGGUACCUAAUCAGAAAGCCACGGCUAACUACGUG